AUAUCAACAUUUAGAAUUUCUCAACAUUGCUGGUUGUCCAAAUCUUGUAAAGAAGAUGGGGAAUGAUGGGCUAUCCCUUCUGGCUAUUGAGUUUGCAAAAAUGGAAGAGGAGAUAUCAUUAGGUGAAGAACGACUCCAUGAAUUGGCGCCUCCAACGAAUUCAAGCAAUGGGAGCACUGCAUUACAAUUAUUGAAUCUUCAAAGUUGUUUCCAAUCAGAAACAAAUUUCUUUCCAA